rnacentral:rRNA from 1 species
AGUGGGGAAUAUUGCACAAUGGGCGAAAGCCUGAUGCAGCCAUGCCGCGUGUGUGAAGAAGGCCUUCGGGUUGUAAAGCACUUUCAGUCGUGAGGAAGGGGUGAAGAUUAAUACUCUUCAUCUUUGACGUUAGCGACAGAAGAAGGACCGGCUAACUCCGUGCCAGCAGCCGCGGUAAUACGGAGGGUCCGAGCGUUAAUCGGAAUUACUGGGCGUAAAGCGUACGCAGGUGGCUUGUUAAGCCAGAUGUGAAAUCCCCGGGCUCAACCUGGGAAUGGCAUUUGGAACUGGCAAGCUAGAGUUUUGUAGAGGGUGGUAGAAUUUCAGGUGUAGCGGUGAAAUGCGUAGAGAUCUGAAGGAAUACCAGUGGCGAAGGCGGCCACCUGGACAAAAACUGACGCUCAUGUACGAAAGCGUGGGGAGCAAA